GAGACAUUGAAAUAAGAGUUGAAUUUGGAAUACUUGAAGCAUUCAGCUUCUUCAUCACAGAUGAAGAAUCCAGUAAGAAAAGGAUGCUUUUCCAGGAUUUGGCUUCAAACCAACUAAUGGAGAGUUUCUAGGCAUGAGAAUUCCACGGCAGCUGUCAAAGCACCUCUAAUGUACACCUGGGGCUGAAAACUAAAGCUACAAUACGAGCUCCUACUUCAUAGUACCCAGACCAGUGAUUCUGAAACCUCAGUGCACAUGUGAGUUCACUGGAGGGCCCAUGAAAACCAGCUGCUGACCCCAUUUUUUUUCUGAAUCUGGGUAUAUGAGACGGAGCUUGGGGACAUACAUUUUCAGUGCGAAGACUGCACUUUGCAAUAGAAGACCUCCAAAGUCCUAUUUCCAAAUGACCUUGACUCCAUCUUGCAAAGUGUUGAUCAUCAGUCGUGUAGAUGACAGGCUGGAUGAGUGGUUGAGGAUCCCAUGAACUGAGAACCAGUUCAAGUCAACCUUUAUCAAAGAUGCUCUCCAAAUAAUAAAAUCAUAAGUGACCU
rnacentral:lncRNA from 1 species